ACUUGAUGUUCUUGUUUGUUGUCUGAAAAAAAGGAGGAAAAGUCAAUCAACAAUUUGAUUUUAAAUUUUAGUCCAACAAAGAUGGAAAAACAGCUCUAUUUGUUUGGGAUUCCGGAAGUUCCGGAACCAACUGCAUUCCACAAACUGACAAGGAGAUGGCGACAGUGUGCCGCCUGAAAACAAUGUAGGUUGCUCGAUCGUUUUUAAUUUCCAGGGUAAACCGAAGCAGUCAUCUCGACAGGUCACCUGGUGGCGCUAGUGCGCAAAGCGCCGUUCGACAUGCAGGAGAAGAAGUUUGCCUUGGCUCGGUGGACGUGACGUCAGACCCGCAGGUAAAUUGAAAACAGGUGUGCACCAGGGAGUUAUCAAAUACGGAUGAAGCAAGAGGGCGCCCGACCGCGUGGCAUUCUCUCAGGAUUUUCACACGCGAUGGACGCAACCACGUUUGAGUGUCCUUGUCCAAUAGGAGAGCCAGACUAUAUACCAAUAUGCAAUGUUGAUCUGUGCCGCAUCAAAACCAUUGCUCUUAUGAAUUCAACAAGUGAGCUGAAGUGACAUGCUCACUCUAACAGCUCAGCUAACUGAGUGAGAAAUGGGUUGAAGAGAAGCAAUGAGGAAAGGACCAAUUCCACACCCAGUCAAGAAUCAAGCAGCAUGCCAAUGUGGACAUGUCAUGUGUGGGGAUCAUCUGACCAGGAGGGGGCAGUGUUGUGCUCUGGUUGCUUUUGGUUAUGGGUGCACGCCGGAAAGGUUGCCUUGAAAUGAGGGCAGGUGUUUAAGGGUCUGAUGGUUGGACUUGCUUAAGAGGUGCGCUGUAGUUGUAGUUGAGGUUGUGGCUUGUCUGGAUCCAGAGCAGCGUUGUCUUGUGCGAGGAUAGCGGUUGAAAGCCGGCCGGCGCUUUGGGGGAGGACUUCAAUUUUUGCACACACGAAGCCCUUUGAGACUUGACUGUGGGCAAUGGAAAUGAGCUUGACUUGACUCGGUCCGUCACACCGAUCGACACAACCAAAUCCUUGUCGUGUUUAACCCCUUUUGUUUCAGGUUUUGUGGAGGAACCAGCUUGGGUACCAAUAGCAGAAGCCCAAUGCCCAAGUUUGCUGUAAGAGCAGCGAUGUCUUGUGCUAGGAUUGCUAUUGACGGCGCAUUGUAACCUUUGUGUCCAUCGACGUCGUCACGUCGAUGGACACCAACAAAACUUUGACGUGGAGCUGAAUGUCCAAUUUUGCAAUAACACUUGUUGACUAUUGUAACAUUUUUUUAUUUUCUAACCUACCACUGUCGUACUUGCCUUCUUUGUUCUCCCCUCAGUGUAGGGCGACGUUGGAGCGAGUCGGUCCAGAAUGUUAAAUUUUGCAAUAUGACUUGUAACAUUUUCUUUUUCUACCCUACCACUGUUGUACUUGCGUUCUUUGUUUCCCCCUCGGUGUAGGGCGGCGUUGGAGCCAACUGGUCAACGAGGUGCCGGAAACCCAAACAAAACUUUGCCGUGGCGCUGAAUGUCCAAUUUUCCGAUGUGACUUGUUGACUAGUGCAACAUUUUGUCUUUACUGUCGUACUUGGGUUCUUUGUUCUCCCCUCGGUGUAGGGAGACGUUGGAGCGAGCCGGUCCCGAAGGUCCAAUUUUGCAAUACGACUUGCAACAUUUUGUCAUUUCCUAACCUACCACUGUCAUACUUGCGUCCUUUGUUCUCCCCUUGGUGUAGGGCGGCGUUGGCGCGAGCCGGUCCACGAGAAACCACCGGUCGAGGGUCCCCAAGACAUAAUGACGCGAGCAGCGCACGACUCAUUGCAUGUUCUGCCUUUUGCAGACUGGACGCAAAAGGGGGGGACGCACGGCCCGACCCGGCGAUGGUAACCAAGAGUAGGUAGCUGCUGUGAUCAAGUAAGCAAGUGUGACCUCCAACUUGGGGUGCUCUUUGAGUCUCGCAUUGUUUCUGCAGAUGGCGACCGGGACGCGACACGAUCGGAUCAGAAGGUGUGGCAUCACUGAAGUAUCCUGCAGCCAGCCAGGUUCUGAGGGAGACCCGCUUCCCUGGAGGCGUUGAGCUUCAAUGCGUGAAAUUGAUUUUUUUUUGUUUUUUCUUUUUUCCAAUUCACACCAGUGGUGUCCAAACGUCUGAGUGCCGCAUACGGAAACAAAUUCCUAAUUGUGUGACAUAAAUUCAUUAAACACUCGAAUCAAUCAUGACAUUUUGCUCUAAAUAUUUUGUGCUACUGCUACAAAACGGUGUUUAUUUUGAAGGUCAUUCAUGUGGUGUCUUGAUAAACCUGACAGACAAAGCAAAAAUGAGGAUAAACUACUUCUGUGUCUGAGUGAAAUUUUGAACAGAGGAUUUGACUUGUAAAUACAACUUAAUAUUUUGAUGCCGUCUGUCAGUCGUAUUUUGGCGCUCCCCUAGUGGCCUGUGGGAAAUAGCCCCUAGGCUGCCGUUUGGACACUAAUGGUGAUGUGUAGGGCUGCACGUGUAUUGGAAAACUGCAAUAUGGUGGUAUGUUAUUGACAUGCACUUUAAGAAAGAAAAGAUGUUUUUUUUAAUGUGACCUAAUGAAACGAGCUCUGUUUUCUUGCUUAUAAUUAUUUUAGAAGAUGACAAGUCAUUGAUGCAAGUUAACGUCUAACUGAUCACAUUCAGUUCAAAUCAUUUCUAUCCCAAGUUGUUGCAUGACUUUGCUCGAUGCAAUGGUCUGGCCCAAUACUGCCAUAUCACUGGUUUCCCAAUAUGUUGUGCAGCCUUGAUUGAGUGCAAACGCGCAGCGGCGUCUAGCGACCGCGCAAGCGAGACUUUUCUGCUUGUGUCUUGAAAGGUGGAUGAGAAGCUGCACAAAAUGAAGAGCCGGCGGAUGGAGGUCACGAGAGAUUGGCGAGCAAAGGAAGAAAUCACCCCAAGAAAAACAGUCUCAAUGUGAAGAAGAGGAAGUAGCCUGAUGCAUGGCUGGCCGGAGGGCUCGCUCACGUGGCGUCGGAGGGACUGGAGCAGUUCCUCAAAUGAAGAUGAGUACCAUCUGCUGGUCACUGAGUACGUUGACAGAAGUGAACCGCAUGCAACGGAGUGCUGUCUUUCUUUUUGCAGUUGUGCGAGGCAGAGGAAGGGUGCAAACGUCGAAAACCGGCCCGGAGCGGACCCGAACCUUCUGCAGACCUUAGCCCGUGACGAGCGGCCCACAUGAGGCGGGUGCAGAUGCGGCGAGGCUGGGUGGGCAAAGCAGCCAACAUUUAGGGAGAGUAUGACUGUUUUUCCUUUUGCACUUUCUUGCCCUCCCUCCACUUUCUCACUGGGUGUGCACACUGUCUGUCUGCAUGAUGCUUCUCUUUCUUCCAAGUGCUGUUGUUGUGCAAUAUUGUUUUAAAGUGUUUUUUAAAUACAUAGAGUGAACUGUAAGGUUUGUACUGCAAUUGUGUGCCUCUGUACCUGAAUUAAAUUGUUAACUGAAUGCAAGUGGUCCAUUUUCAACAUUGGCCUGUGUAGUCUCGCUGUGCGUAAUGAGGUGAAUGUCAAGUAGACUGACACACAUAGAUGCAAAUGACAAGCGUGUCAAAGCGUAAAAAGUCGGCGUUGCAACCCAUGAAGUAUGUCUUUGGCAAACCUUUUUGCAACCCUGCUGUAAAAUGGCCACUGAAUUCAGAAUCUGGCUCCGUUUUGGUGCACAUUUUUUGUACGAGUAAAAGCCUUUAUUUUAUUGAAGUCCAAGCCUGUUUUUCUUUUUGCGGUUAGAUUGUCAUGCGGGGUGUUUCUGUGAAUAAAGUUGACUUUGGUGUGUUUUGUUUCUGUGGGUGGUCUUUGUAAAUACACUUUGGUGUAUCAAUUGUCAUGCACAACAUGCCUCAGUUGAUGCUGCAUCUCGAAUAUGAAAUUAAUUACAAGUUUUGUUACAGGUCUUGAAGUCUUCAUUUGCAGUCGGAAUACGAGGAACGCCAGUCCACUAUACAGUGGAGAGGGCUGCCAAAGUGAAUUUAUAAGCAUUACAUGCAACUUCCAGAAUCUGGGCCUUCAAUUCAAAGCACUUAGUCUCAUGUUGCUUAACAACACGGCCAACCUUGCUACCAGUACUGUGAUAGCAUCCAGUUCAGAGUUAAGUCUGCAAAAACACGUGAGUAAAGGCCACACCGUAACCUGUUUAGAUGGUGUUCAAGUGAGCCAGAAAGAGGUGAUCUCAUUACCGGCGUCUUUACUAAAUUG